GAAAAAAUCAAUGCUGGCAAAGAUGCCAAGAAAAGAAAACUCUUGUACACUGUUGAUAGAAAUGUAAGCUAGAACAGCCACUGUGAAAAACAGUAUGGAGGUUCCUCAAGAAACUAAAAGUAGAACUCUGAUCCAGCAAUCCCACUUCUGAGUAUGCACCCCAAGGAAAGGAAAUCAGUGUGCCAAAGAGACACCUGCACCCCAUAUUUAUGCAGCACUGAUCACAAUCGCCAAGAUGUGGAAUUAACCUGUACUUUUGUGAAAAAUUGAAUUAUUUAAAUGCUUCAUUUUGCCUUUUCUUCUAGCCUCGUGCCAGCAACUUAAAUCUAUCAGCAAUGGAGAAUGCCUGGCAUUGGCUUCUGCAUGAGUGCCGUUUUAGUUGCUUUGUAUUCUUCUACCUUGAUUUUUUUUUCUGUUUUUCUACAUGAGUGUUGCCUGCAGAGUUCCCUGAUUGACUCAAAGUACAUCUUCUAUAUUGCUUCAAGUAGUGCUGGUCAUGAACACAAUUCAGUCUUAGUCAGCUAUUGGAACUGAUUGACUGCAAAGUUCUGGUGCCUCUUCUCGCAGCCCAGGGCAGAUGGACGUGCUAUGUGGGGCCCGUACAAAACAGAAUCAUGGAGCUGGUGGGGCAAGGAGUCAACCUCCCUCCUAGGGCCUGCAGCCUCCACCAGGGCAGAGAGCAAGUUUCUCUCAGCUUCUGCUCUCAGGUGGUGACCUGGCAGGGAGGACAGCUUGGCAGUAGGUGCAGGCACUGGACGGGGACCUCCUGGCUCCUCUCCUAGCUCUUGCAGCACCAGCCAUAAGGCACUCAGAUCAUGCAACUUCCCGGUGUCUCCGUCUCUGCAUCUUUAAAAUGGGGCUAAUAAGAACACUUUUCUCAUAGACUUAUAAAGAGAAUUAAUUAAAAAAAAUAAUGCUUGGCUCAGAAUGUACACUCCAUGAACAUCACCUGUUACCACUUAAGAAGGGUGCGUACCCUCCAGCCGCAUCCAUGCCAGUUCCCGUUGUCUCACCCUGGGCCAGCGACACCCAUCUUAAGUCACAAUUGAGAAUACAAGCAAGACACGCUGAAAUCUACCAGAAUAAAGGUCCAUCUUCACAGAACAAGCCUGUUUACACUUGAACCCACAGUUUUUCAGUCAUAUCCAGACUUCAAGGAGGGAAGAGGGCUCCACCGCAGGCUUCCUGUAGCAAGCAUGGGGGCCAUAUCUGAGUCCCCUGUGGCGUUCUGUCACCAUAGACUGUGACUUUCAAACAGCACAGUCACUUCUCACAGUGUUAAAGGUCAGAAGUCCCAGAUCAAGGUUCUGGCAGAUCUGGUAUCUGCUGCUGGGACAGGACCCAGGAGGUUCCGGAGGAUCAGGAGGUCCACCUGGGAGAAGAGCUGAUCGGCUAGUAGGAGAGCUGGAAAAGCAACAGACACCUACUUAGUCCCUUCCCUGGGGCCCGGCUCCAGUCUGAGCUGUCACGCCACAGCAAAGGCAUCACUUCAGGACAGCAAAGCCCCUGUCUCCCUCCCUUCCAGCUCCUCAGACUUCACCCUGGUAACACGUUUGUUUAAAAAACAUAUUUUUCCCCCUUGUAAAGAAUCUAGGAUACAAGGGGUCAGCCCAGCAGUUUAGGUAUCAAGAAGAAACUGCUCUCGGAGCUAAAGUAAGAAACAGUGCCUGUCUAUAGCGCAAAUAAAG
rnacentral:lncRNA from 10 species